AAUUUAAAUUUAAUUUCGAAAGUAUGAUUUCAAUAGUUUUUUCAGACAAAUAUACAUAUCAUCUGUGCUUCAAACCUACUCCGUGAGUAAAUACAUAUGACUCUGCAGACUCCCGCCUCACUCAUCAGCCAUAAUUAUAACUUCAUGGGAAUUAAACAAAAUCGAUACAGUCUCAAUGAGGUUUACAAUUCGUCUUAUUUCGGAACCAAAUAUAGUUAUCCCAAUGAAUGAAUUACAUUAUUAAUGCAACAUUAAUGGAA
rnacentral:lncRNA from 1 species